rnacentral:rRNA from 1 species
UAAACUCCUUUUGUUAGAGAAGAUUAUGACGGUAUCUAACGAAUAAGCACCGGCUAACUCCGUGCCAGCAGCCGCGGUAAUACAGAGGGUGCAAGCGUUACUCGGAAUCACUGGGCGUAAAGAGUGCGUAGGCGGGGUAAUAAGUCAGAUUGUGAAAUCCUGUAGCUUAACUACAAAACUGCAUUUGAAACUGUUACUCUGGAGUGUGGGAGAGGUAGGUGGAAUUCUUGGUGUAGGGGUAAAAUCCGUAUAGAUCAAGAGGAAUACUCAUUGCGAAGGCGACCUGCUGGAACAUUACUGACGCUGAUGCACGAAAGCGUGGGGAGCAAACUAGAUUAGAUACCCUGGUAGUCCACGCCCUAAACGAUGGAUGCUAGUUGU